CUACACGGGAAAUUUCUUCUUUCACCAUCUGUUUCAGGUGGCCACCACACGCGCUAGAAAAACAGUACUCUUUCAGAUUCCGAGCCGUUCACAACGGGCUGCGCGUUGGUCGUGUGUUGUUUCAGGAAGUACGACUUCCGCAAGUGUGUGAGUGAGCGACAAAAUCGUCCCGCUAAGCUAAUUAGAGCAUCCGAUCCAGCAAGGAUUAAAUGGCCAAGAUGAAUUAUCUAGUGUUCUUGUUAUUAUUUGGAUGCCAGCUGCUUGCCAGAGCUGAUGAUUUACUCGAUUCCGAGGAGCCUCCUGAGGGUUACUAUGCCUUCAUAGAGUCACCAUCGGCCGUUCCGCCGAAGGUUCGGUCUCCGCCCUAUACUCACAUCAACAUCGACUGCAAGGAUGCCACCAAUCCCAAGCCAUACGUGUCCGCGAACAACCUCUGCGGAGAUCUGAACAAGGGCAAAAUUCCGCGCAACCCAAUGCGGCAGAGCGUGAUGGGUGAGCCUUAUCCUUUUGAGUUGAUCAGAAAUCAAACAUUGAAGUUUUUGUCAAAAACUUUACCUGUGUUGAAAGCUGAUGAUACGCUUCCCAAGGUUACCCAGAUCAUGCCGGACGAGACUGUGGAUCAAUUUGACGACAAUGGCAUUGCAAACUUGUUUAAUUUAUAUAUUAAAAAGUCCUUAGUAAUUCAAUCGGAAUACCUUUCACGUGCAUAUUACAUUCCAGCAUUGGUCGUCGAAUGGGGAAAGUUAUGCGGAUGACCGAAGAUCGCAGAGAUGAGGAAGAACCCCGAACGCCAAGAAAGUUCUGCGACGGUGGUGGAGUAUUCUGCGCUCUUUACCGCGCUAUACAGGGAGAACCAAUCAGCAGCAAAUUGGUCGCCGAACGACGUGAAGAAAUCCCAAGUGCUUACGCGCCGCCACCACCGCGAUAUGACGGACCCCCUACGCCUUGUCCAGCCAAGGUUGAAUAUGCUACACCGGUGUUCGCUAAGAACUACCAGGGUUCGUGGAGGUACGUCGUCCAAAUCCCGUACGAGGGAUACUUCACUCAAACCGUGGAGGUGACCCGCUGCCUUCAGGCCCGUUGCCAUUAUCUGGACGGUGGUUGCUUGUCCUCUCCUCGAUGGGUUAGCUUGCUUGUUGCUGAAAUUUUCUACCCAAAUGCUGAAGAAUUCACCACUUCGACAUCGACGACCACGGCACCAUCGGUUCAGGACUUCCAGGCUUACCAGCAGUAUCUGCAGAAACGAGCGGGACUUCCCACUGGCGCCGACAGCGGUUCCUAUGAAAACACCAGCAAUCACGCAACUCGUAAGAGCGACCAGCAUUGUGAUGGACACGAUGAAAUCGGGUGCUUCCAGGUUCGCUUGUACUACGAUUGGUUCCUGAUACCUGGUUCGUGCAAAUGCUGGAGACCAGAUUACUUCGCCAAGUACGUUCGGAAGCGACCGACUCCUGAGCUGUAAACUCGAUGAUAGCUGCGCUCAUAAAAGAAAAGAAAUCGCGUACGAAUGUUGAAUGGACUGCAACUUUAUUUAUUUAUUUAUUUUAUCUUAGCUUAUGUAAAUGCUAGAGCGUAAAAUGGAAAUUCAAGUUGGAGCUUAUUCGGGUAAAACAUUUGAAGGCGGUUCUGUGAACGCUUUCUGGCGUGAUCCGGGACGUGUUAUAUCUCUCUAUCUCUUACGCAGAAGAAUUCUCUCUUCUACUCUCAACUUUCCGCUGGUUAUGGUGUUCUGGGACAAUAAUCGCUGCAAUGCGCCAUCGAUGGCAUCCAUUGAGUCGGAUUUAUUUUUAGUUCUAAAGUGAUCUAGAAGUAUGACUGACAACACUGAUCUGCAAAACAGUACUAUACAUUAAACGCUCUUCAUAAGGAACUUUAGGGUAAGCUACAAUAGGUAUCUUUUAAAAGUGCUCUUCUCGUCUACUAGAGUCUGGAUCAACAGAAGCAAUGAUAGAGGAAUAGGUUGUAAAUAUAAAUAUUUUAAAAAUAAA